UCAAGGAAGUACGAAAGGGCGUACGGUGGAUGCCUAGGCUCUUACAGGCGAUGAAGGACGUGAUAAGCUGCGAUAAGCUGCGGUAAGGAGCACAUAUCCGAUAUACCCGCAGAUUUCCGAAUGGGGGAACCCACAUACGGUAAUGCGUAUGUAUCAUUAAGUGAAUACAUAGCUUAAUGA
rnacentral:rRNA from 1 species